rnacentral:rRNA from 1 species
UACGUAGGGUGCAAGCGUUGUCCGGAAUUAUUGGGCGUAAAGAGCUCGUAGGCGGUUUGUCGCGUCUGCUGUGAAAACUCGGGGCUUAACUCCGGGCCUGCAGUGGGUACGGGCAGACUAGAGUGCGGUAGGGGAGACUGGAAUUCCUGGUGUAGCGGUGAAAUGCGCAGAUAUCAGGAGGAACACCGGUGGCGAAGGCGGCCUUCUGGACGAUGACUGACGCUGAGACGCGAAAGCGUGGGGAGCAAACAGG